UUAAGCGACUAAGCGUACACGGUGGAUGCCCUGGCAGUCAGAGGCGAUGAAGGACGUGCUAAUCUGCGAUAAGCGUCGGUAAGGUGAUAUGAACCGUUAUAACCGGCGAUUUCCGAAUGGGGAAACCCAGUGUGAUUCGUCACACUAUCAUUAACUGAAUCCAUAGGUUAAUGAGGCGAACCGGGGGAACUGAAACAUCUAAGUACCCCGAGGAAAAGAAAUCAACCGAGAUUCCCCCAGUAGCGGCGAGCGAACGGGGAGGAGCCCAGAGCCUGAAUCAGUGUGUGUGUUAGUGGAAGCGUCUGGAAAGGCGUGCGAUACAGGGUGACAGCCCCGUACACAAAAAUGCACAUACUGUGAGCUCGAUGAGUAGGGCGGGACACGUGGUAUCCUGUCUGAAUAUGGGGGGACCAUCCUCCAAGGCUAAAUACUCCUGACUGACCGAUAGUGAACCAGUACCGUGAGGGAAAGGCGAAAAGAACCCCGGCGAGGGGAGUGAAAAAGAACCUGAAACCGUGUACGUACAAGCAGUGGGAGCACGCUUAGGCGUGUGACUGCGUACCUUUUGUAUAAUGGGUCAGCGACUUAUAUUCUGUAGCAAGGUUAACCGAAUAGGGGAGCCGAAGGGAAACCGAGUCUUAACUGGGCGUUAAGUUGCAGGGUAUAGACCCGAAACCCGGUGAUCUAGCCAUGGGCAGGUUGAAGGUUGGGUAACACUAACUGGAGGACCGAACCGACUAAUGUUGAAAAAUUAGCGGAUGACUUGUGGCUGGGGGUGAAAGGCCAAUCAAACCGGGAGAUAGCUGGUUCUCCCCGAAAGCUAUUUAGGUAGCGCCUCGUGAAUUCAUCUCCGGGGGUAGAGCACUGUUUCGGCAAGGGGGUCAUCCCGACUUACCAACCCGAUGCAAACUGCGAAUACCGGAGAAUGUUAUCACGGGAGACACACGGCGGGUGCUAACGUCCGUCGUGAAGAGGGAAACAACCCAGACCGCCAGCUAAGGUCCCAAAGUCAUGGUUAAGUGGGAAACGAUGUGGGAAGGCCCAGACAGCCAGGAUGUUGGCUUAGAAGCAGCCAUCAUUUAAAGAAAGCGUAAUAGCUCACUGGUCGAGUCGGCCUGCGCGGAAGAUGUAACGGGGCUAAACCAUGCACCGAAGCUGCGGCAGCGACGCUUAUGCGUUGUUGGGUAGGGGAGCGUUCUGUAAGCCUGCGAAGGUGUGCUGUGAGGCAUGCUGGAGGUAUCAGAAGUGCGAAUGCUGACAUAAGUAACGAUAAAGCGGGUGAAAAGCCCGCUCGCCGGAAGACCAAGGGUUCCUGUCCAACGUUAAUCGGGGCAGGGUGAGUCGACCCCUAAGGCGAGGCCGAAAGGCGUAGUCGAUGGGAAACAGGUUAAUAUUCCUGUACUUGGUGUUACUGCGAAGGGGGGACGGAGAAGGCUAUGUUGGCCGGGCGACGGUUGUCCCGGUUUAAGCGUGUAGGCUGGUUUUCCAGGCAAAUCCGGAAAACUAAGGCUGAGGCGUGAUGACGAGGCACUACGGUGCUGAAGCAACAAAUGCCCUGCUUCCAGGAAAAGCCUCUAAGCAUCAGGUAACAUCAAAUCGUACCCCAAACCGACACAGGUGGUCAGGUAGAGAAUACCAAGGCGCUUGAGAGAACUCGGGUGAAGGAACUAGGCAAAAUGGUGCCGUAACUUCGGGAGAAGGCACGCUGAUAUGUAGGUGAAGUCCCUCGCGGAUGGAGCUGAAAUCAGUCGAAGAUACCAGCUGGCUGCAACUGUUUAUUAAAAACACAGCACUGUGCAAACACGAAAGUGGACGUAUACGGUGUGACGCCUGCCCGGUGCCGGAAGGUUAAUUGAUGGGGUUAGCGCAAGCGAAGCUCUUGAUCGAAGCCCCGGUAAACGGCGGCCGUAACUAUAACGGUCCUAAGGUAGCGAAAUUCCUUGUCGGGUAAGUUCCGACCUGCACGAAUGGCGUAAUGAUGGCCAGGCUGUCUCCACCCGAGACUCAGUGAAAUUGAACUCGCUGUGAAGAUGCAGUGUACCCGCGGCAAGACGGAAAGACCCCGUGAACCUUUACUAUAGCUUGACACUGAACAUUGAGCCUUGAUGUGUAGGAUAGGUGGGAGGCUUUGAAGUGUGGACGCCAGUCUGCAUGGAGCCGACCUUGAAAUACCACCCUUUAAUGUUUGAUGUUCUAACGUUGACCCGUAAUCCGGGUUGCGGACAGUGUCUGGUGGGUAGUUUGACUGGGGCGGUCUCCUCCUAAAGAGUAACGGAGGAGCACGAAGGUUGGCUAAUCCUGGUCGGACAUCAGGAGGUUAGUGCAAUGGCAUAAGCCAGCUUGACUGCGAGCGUGACGGCGCGAGCAGGUGCGAAAGCAGGUCAUAGUGAUCCGGUGGUUCUGAAUGGAAGGGCCAUCGCUCAACGGAUAAAAGGUACUCCGGGGAUAACAGGCUGAUACCGCCCAAGAGUUCAUAUCGACGGCGGUGUUUGGCACCUCGAUGUCGGCUCAUCACAUCCUGGGGCUGAAGUAGGUCCCAAGGGUAUGGCUGUUCGCCAUUUAAAGUGGUACGCGAGCUGGGUUUAGAACGUCGUGAGACAGUUCGGUCCCUAUCUGCCGUGGGCGCUGGAGAACUGAGGGGGGCUGCUCCUAGUACGAGAGGACCGGAGUGGACGCAUCACUGGUGUUCGGGUUGUCAUGCCAAUGGCACUGCCCGGUAGCUAAAUGCGGAAGAGAUAAGUGCUGAAAGCAUCUAAGCACGAAACUUGCCCCGAGAUGAGUUCUCCCUGACUCCUUGAGAGUCCUGAAGGAACGUUGAAGACGACGACGUUGAUAGGCCGGGUGUGUAAGCGCAGCGAUGCGUUGAGCUAACCGGUACUAAUGAACCGUGAGGCUUAACCUU
rnacentral:rRNA from 1 species